rnacentral:lncRNA from 1 species
GUGUGGGCCCCGCUUUCCCCCAGCGCUGGAGACUCCGAGCCCGGCCGGUCCCACAUUCCACGCGAGCUGAAUUCCCGCCCGCAUCCCGCCCGGGCAGCAGGGAUUGCCGGCUCCGGGAGGCGCUCGGGCUCCGAGAAGCGGCUCAGCCCCGCGCCCCUCCCUCCUCAGUACCGCUGCCGGCGGACCAGGAUUCCCGCGGGUCCUGGCGGCUGCGAGCGCGAGGCGGCGCGGAUUCGCGGCUCGGUUCCGGCGCGACUGCUCACCGCGCCCGCCUCGCCUCCCGCGGCUGCCAGCGUGCACUGGGCGCUCCUCGGCGCGUCUGCCCGGCCCGUCUCGGCUUUCCUUCUCCUUCCUCUAGUCCCAGCGUCACAACUCCGCCGACCUCCUCUGCCCUGAGAGCGCGUCCGGUGCGGGCGGAGUCGGACGGACUCUGGCUUCACGCCUCGCGCGGGCACACCUUCUCCCGGGCACUGAGGCCCAGUUGUGUAUCGAGCUGGGGGAUGUAAAGGGAGGAGAAGAAAGAAGAUGAAGAGAUACCAGCCAGCCUUAAGGAGUGGACAUCCUGCCUGGUGAAACUGAACAAGACACCUACCGCAU